UACGUAGGGUGCAAGCGUUGUCCGGAAUCACUGGGCGUAAAGGGCGCGUAGGUGGCGGAGCGAGUCAACGGUGAAAGCUCGACGCUCAACGUCGAGUCGGCCGUCGAUACUGCUUUGCUUGAGCACUGUAGAGGCUAAUGGAAUUCCGGGUGUAGCGGUGGAAUGCGUAGAGAUCCGGAAGAACACCGGUGGCGAAGGCGGUUAGCUGGGCAGUUGCUGACACUGAGGCGCGACAGCGUGGGGAGCAAACAGG
rnacentral:rRNA from 1 species